rnacentral:rRNA from 1 species
GCCUGCCCAGUGACAUGUUCAACGGCCGCGGUAUCCUAACCGUGCGAAGGUAGCGUAAUCACUUGUUCUUUAAAUGGGGACUAGUAUGAAUGGCAUCACGAGGGUUAUACUGUCUCCUUUUUUUAAUCAGUGAAACUAAUCUCCCCGUGAAGAAGCGGGGAUAAAACUAUAAGACGAGAAGACCCUAUGGAGCUUUAAACUCACCUUCAGGUGCCGGCUUCUCUCUACCCCACUUACAACCACCCAGUCACCAUGAAGCCAAGUCUUAGGUUGGGGUGACCGCGGAGCACAAGAAAACCUCCACGUUGAACUAGGCCUCUAAGCCUUGAGCAAAGGGCCACGACCCUAUGUGCCAAAAAAUUUUCAUCUAUUGACCCAUCUUUUUGAUCAACGAACCAAGUUACCCUAGGGAUAACAGCGCAAUCUGCUCCAAGAGUUCAUAUCGACGAGCGGGUUUACGACCUCGAUGUUGGAUCAGGGUGUCCCAGUGGUGCAGCCGCUACUAACGGUUCGUUUGUUCAACGAUUAAAACCCUACGUGAUCUGAGUUCAGACCGGA